AGGGCGUCUCACUGUUCUCAAAUAAUAAAAUAAAAUCAACAGAGCAUUUAGAGGAGUUUGAAGCCUGAGCUUUUGGCUCACAGGAAGUCCCUACAUCAUUAUAUGAAGAUUUUGCCAUUUAAUAUGGAGAUCCACAACUAAAACUGUGUGACAGAAGUUAAGGUAGGUUCUCAUUAAAUAUAUAAAAAAUGAAACAAAAAGAAUAAAGACAAAAACAAGGUCAUUUUUUAAAUUGUAUUUUAUUGUUUAGCAUCUUCAUAAGACACUCUUGGGUAUCAUUAUGUCCCUGAGAACAUACAAUAGACAAACAGCACGCACAGACACAUAACACUGACUGCUUUGAGAUUAUUUAACCACAGUGCUUGAACAGUUGAUCCGAGUAUAUAAAUCUUGCAAAAUUAUACCGCAGCCAACAAAUAAAACACGUCUAUAGCAGAAAAGUGCAAAAGCUGUGAAUAAGGGUGGAGGGAAACUGCAUCACAUUGAUUUGGUUACUUUUAUUUAAUCAAAUGCGAAAAAAAAAUACUGGGAUAAAAAGAAUUCAGCCAGAGGAUAAACUAUAAUGCAAUCGUGGUGUCUUUUUCUGCAGUGCGUGUACAUUAAUCAUCUGUUUCAUCUUUCAGCUGUCAAACCCAAGAUCUAAUAUGUGCUCAUAUAACACUCACAAUCCAUGCGUCCGUAUUUUCCCACGUACAUGGCAGUUUCUGAAGAAGGAGAAGGUUUUGUUUGUUUGUUUGUUUGUUUUUUACAGAUAUUUUAGCUCAUCUAAGAAAAGCCCAGAGUUAAGCAAAUUUCCAGUAUAAGUAAAGUAGCUGUAUGGGACAGAAAAAAACAAAAACGUGGUUCUUUAAAUAAUUUAACAAGCUGAAAUCAAUUUAUUUGCAAAAUUCACAGUCUGAAGAAAAUACAUUAAGAUGCACCAGAGUGAUUAAAUUCACUCUCUGUGCAUGUUCAGAACAGCAUACAGUAAAUAUCCAGUGUACGACCUCCGUUCCCAGCAGAGGAACUAUACAUCCUUGAUCGAUACACUCUGUGUUUGGGGACAAUGCAUUAGUAAGUGAUAACUCGGGAGACUUCCUGUCCUGCUGCUAUCCUUGUCUCUACCGUGAAUCAGAAAAUCUUCACCUACAUCCAUGUAAUGUAUUCUCUUAUUUCACACAGAGCAAAAAGUGCUUAUUGGACAGCAAUAAUUAUACAAGCAAGCAUUAAUUAUACUGGGAACAAAGCCUGGAGGUGCUGGGAGUCCGUUUUUUUGUGCUGAAGUCCAAAAAUAUCCUUUUUCUAUGAAAGAUUUUAAGCCUAAAAAUCUCUUCCUAUUUGCAUUACUUGCAGUUGCUCUGCUGCUGUUUUCCAUCCAAUAUCAGAAGGCUUUAUCCUCUUGUAUAGUAUUUAUUGGCCUUGUCUGCAUGUCAGAACCAUAACAAAUGAGACCCAUGUGAAACACAGUUACUUUAAUCACAAUCCUGCAGCACUGAAGCAAAGCAUGCCAGGGUGGAUUCAUACAGGCUGACAGGAAAUUAACAGGAAGCACAGGAACACCGUAGCUGCACUUGGUUCUUAUUAAUAUUACAUGCUACAUGUUAUAGACAUGCAUGUGAGUGAAGCAUACAUUAUUAAAGCCUCCAGCAGACCCGCUUUGUCCAUACUUUUAAUUCCAUUUCGAAUUUUAAUCUGUAAACACAGGGCAUUAAUUAGUGGUGGGUAUUAACCCGGCUGCUCACACCCUUUUCCAUUUUUUUCAAAUCAGUGCUUCCAAUCUCAUUUAAAUCUAAUCUCAUUUUAGAACAUAAUUAAUCAGAUCUUUCAGUGAGGACAUUAACUAGACCUGCAUGUCAGACAGCUUUCAAAGUCUCAAAGACUACAAAUUAUAGUGGAUUUCUUAGGAUUUAGGAGGCUGAUGUAAGCGAGACGCAACAGAGCAGCGAUGGUAAUGAAAGCAGAAUGAACUGAUGUGUUCUGCUGAUGUUAACGAGACAUUUUAAGUGUUUAUCUCGCGUCUUUCAGCGUUAUCUCAUUCAUUUAAUUAGUUUUUGAGGAUUUUUCCUUUACCUGAAGUUGAGGAUAGAAAUGAUCUGGUUGGAUUUAGGCCUUUGUAAAUAAAACUACUGACUAGUUUGAUCUUGAAGUUCAUUAUUAGUGAGCAUUUAAUUGGGCACAAUCUCUGGACCAAUCUCUGUAUAUACUGAUUCUUUGAAUGCUCACUGGUGGUUGGCAUUCAGUUACAAAAUAUUAGUCCCUUCCUGCAGCUCCCCAUGGUUGAAAUGGUCCUAAUUCUGCCAGCCAGUAGAAAUAAAUGUCAUUUCCUCAGUCUAAACUGGGCCAAAUCUGCACAUAUAAUACUACUCCAAAUUUGGCACAUGUGAGUAUGCUGAUAUUUAACCCCAAUUGGCACAACUCAGCUAGCUACAAAUAUGACUUUUGAAAACAGUUGCAAUAUGUGGCAUUAGACACUUACAAGAGCCUGGAAAUGAUAGCACUUUAUGAUAAACUGUAUUUAAUCAUUUAAUUUGAUAGGAAAAUCAAUUAAUAUUACUCUCUACUUAUUUCUACUCCAGUUUCUCUGAUUUCCAAUUGAGAUUAAAGGCAAAAAGCACUUAUUUCAAAUCUUUUGAUUCAGGUUUCGGAGAACAAAAGCAGAACCGUAGACCUAUCCAUCCACCCCAACCUCCUCCUAAUACUGGUGCUAUAAUACUACACACAGACUAAAUAUAAGCUCAUGUAAUUCAGACACUAGAAGGCGCUGUCAUAGUUAACUCUUAAAUAUGGAUAGGGUUGUAACGGCAUGAAAGAAAAAUAUGAGGACAAUCUUAUAUCUAAUAAUUUUUAAUAAAAAAUAAUAAAGGAACAAAAAAGUCAUUUAUAUAUAUAUAUAUAUAUAUAUAUAUAUAUAUAUAUAUAUAUAUAUAUGUGUGUGUGCACUAGUGGUCCGUGGUGGUACUGCAGCGUCUUACCCAGUCUACCAUCAAGACAGCCAUGUUAGAGAAACUGGAAACUGGAAAUGCAUCUUUACAUCUUUGCAUGACAUGAACAGUCAAAUAAGUGUUUGUAAUGGCUGAUAUUUGGUUGCUCUCUUGGCAUUCACCGCGUGCCUUAAUUGUAUGGACAUUUAAAUCAAGGUCCGCUGUGAACACGAGGAGUGACAACCCAUAUUUCUCUUAUUCCCCUUUGUUCUCAUCUGACUCACAACAUCGUGAUUUUGUACAGUUUUCAUACAUUUAUUGCUUUUUUUUUCAAUGCAGCUGUGGUCUUGUGCACCUCGCUUUAACGUUUCCAGUGAGUCCAUUUUUACCACUGUUUUUCUUUUCUUUUUUUCCCCAGCACUGCUCUGUCCUACUAGAGCUUUCUCUGUCCAGCUUGACUGAAUCACUUCCACUUUAUUCCCGUCCUUAUCUGUCUCAGUAGUUUUUCUGCAACAGCAGCACUCCAGAAAAUAAAAUUGCUGCCAAGUUAUCAAGCGCUGAGGGGGUUCCUCUUUAAUGUAUUUCUAUAAACAGAUAAACAAAUUUCAAUAUAUUGAGCUUGUAAAUCUCCCAUGACACUCAGUGGGCUAUAAAUGUAUUAAAUAUCAAUAUAGUGAACGCUUUAUUGUCACCGUUGGGUUAUAUUGACUAUGACUGCACUGAUUAUUUAUCAUGCCUCCGCAUGCUGCUAAAACUGCCUUACAAAUUGAAUACAGCUGAUCAAAUUACACUGACAGCAACAUUUAUGAUGAUAUUGGUGCUGAUUGUACUAGAUAUUGUGAAUGCAAUCUAUUGACAGCGUUAUAAUACAUUAUUGUUAAAGCAAAAGAGUGGUUCGUUACAAUAACGGCAAGGUUUUUUUACUCAGCUCUGCUCCUCUGCAGUGCUUUGUCUCCUCCUGCAGUCCACACACAGAGAGGCAGCUCAGGAGGACCCUGUAGUGGUCCAUGCAUAGGCGUAAAUGUGACUGUGUGUGCAUAUCUUUCUUUUCCCUGAGAUGUAAAUGGGUGCAGUGUUAGAAGUGGUUCAGUGACAAUCAGUUUAUCCGCUGUGUAUAUGGACAGUUUGCAGAUUUUAGCCCUGUGACUAAAAAUUAUGUCAAAAUCCAUCCAAAUCAUUUGAAUAUUAAUCGCUUCAAUCUCCUCCUUUGGCUUCUAGCAUACUUGAAAUAAUGUCAUCUCUACUGGUAUUGUCAUUUCAUUGGCUUAAUUUGGCAGAAGUUCCACAAAAAGUGUCAUCUGAAGGAUUUCUGGAGGCCUGAAAAAAAAAAAAGAUUAACAUUUGUUCAAUGUAAAAAGAUUUUUUUUUUAACAUCAUGUGACCUCCCUCUGUUUUUUUUCUUCACCCUUUUUUUGCUUUUUAGUUGCGCUGCAUGCAACAGUAAUGCAUCUUCAGCUGCAUUAAACGCAGACAUGGUGCUCACUGAAAUUGAUUGACCGCAUGGAGCAAGUGUAAAAAUCUCUGCAAAUUGAUUUUCAUACCCCCGGAUGAGUGGAAACCAAUAAUGGCUUACUGGAAGACUGGAGGGGAAAAUGCAUUUGGAAGAGGCCAAAAAAUAAAAAAUAAAAAAUCUAAAAUAAUACAGUAUAUGUGUAAAAAGUAUUGCAGAGAUGUGCAGUUUUAAAUCAUUAAAAACACGGCAGCACUGCGGACCAUUAAAGCAUCAUCCUCCAUUAUCCGGCAGCAGCAGCAGCCAUAAUGUACGUUCUUAUACAGCACUGCAUUAGUGACACAGCUGCAGGGGAGGAAGCUGCUGCUGCAAUUUUACUUCUCAUCCCACAUGAGUACACCAUCCUGUCAGCUAAACAGAAAAAAAGAGGAGGGGGGCAGGGGGGCAUCAGGACAUGUAGCCUCUUCUUUUGAUUUGUGCAGAUGAAAAGCAGCAUCAUCAGCAUCAUCUGUGCUGCUCAGCGGCUCUCCGGCAGAGAGGAGGACCCAUCUGCAGCCUCAUUAACCGCUGAAAUGCUAAUGACCCAGAUAGCUCAUGUAGGCUAAAACUGCAGAGAGGAGGGAGGGGGUGGAUGGUUGCCUUUGUGGGGGUCGGGCGUGUGUGCGUGCGUGUGUGUGUGUGUGUGCUAGAGCUUAUAUUGAACAUUUUUAACCAAUACACGACUGCAGGCACCGAAUAAGUCAAAUUACAGUCUGUAAAAACUGGUCUAACAGACAGUAAAACACAAUAAAGAUUUCCGUUUUUGCCUUUUUCCAAUUAUAACAUCAAAUUUACCAGAAAACACCACGGCCUGCCAGAGUUAAAUAUUACAUCUGGUGCAGUAUUUGUGGAUGGAUUUGGGCGUGAAUGCAGAAUUUGGCUCUUUUUUUCGCAACAGAAACAGAAAAAAAGAGAAGUUCCGCAGAGCACGACAGCACACUGCGGCGUUCGCAGGAGCAAAACGCAGAUGAAAGGGUUUUUAAACACACACACACACACACACACACACACACACACACACACACACACACACACACACACACACAACGCCUAUAAUACCUUAGCUUUAAAACGAACAAAUGUGCUGUAAAAGUGUGUAACACCGAACAACAACAAUACCUUUCAGCGGCAGGGUGCAGGAUAAAUGGCGCAGGUAUCUAUUUCUUUUGCCAUUACAGAGCACGUUCUUAUUGUUUGAUGUUUAAAAAUAAAUAAAUAAAAAGGCAGCCCAGACCUCCAUUAAACACACCGACUCUUGAGGCUCUGUGUGCCCGGUGAGAGAACGAUGUAAACCGGCUUUAUUUGCAGCUUGGUCCGCGGUCCUCUUCUCUGGAGGUCCUCCCAGGGAUGGGAUGCUGAGGAUGCGGAGGAAGCGGAGGGAUGUUGCGAGGGAUGCGGAGGUCGGACCGUCCUUCUUCUGCACACGAGCUGAAUAGGCGGUAUUUCUCUCUCUCUCUUUCUCUUUCCAGAGAACACUCUUUAAAGUACAAAUAGUCCAGACCCAUAAAGAGUACAAGAGUCAAGCAAAUAUCCCGAACCCAUCAAAAUCAGGUUUUGUGCGUGCUGGGUGCAGUCCGUGUAGCUGUACGGCAGGAUGGAGGGAGAGAAGUUGGGCGCAGUCAGAUGGAGAGAGGAUAGGGGAGGGGGUG
ensembl:lncRNA